AUCUUUGCGCUUGGGGCAAUGACUCAGCUAGUGAGGUUCUAACCGAGGCGCAUCUAUUGUUGGUUGAAAACUAUUUCCAAACCCCCUCUUAGGCUUGUGUUUAACCAACACCUUUGAGAAUUUCUAAAAGGACUCCUAUUGGGGUAAAGUC
rnacentral:snRNA from 1 species